UGGUUAAUUCGAUGCAACGCGAAGAACCUUACCAGGUCUUGACAUCCCACGAAUUCAUCUGAAAGGAUGGAGUGCCUUCGGGAGCGUGGAGACAGGUGGUGCAUGGUUGUCGUCAGCUCGUGUCGUGAGAUGUUGGGUUAAGUCCCGCAACGAGCGCAACCCUUGCUAUUAGUUGCUAACAGGUAGAGCUGAGCACUCUAAUGGGACUGCCGGUGACAAGCCGGAGGAAGGUGGGGAUGACGUCAAAUCAUCAUGCCCUUUAUGACCUGGGCUACACACGUGCUACAAUGGAUGGUACAGAGAGCAGCGAGGCAGCGAUGUGGAGCGAAUCUCAAAAAGCCAUUCUCAGUUCGGAUUGGAGUCUGCAACUCGACUCCAUGAAGUCGGAAUCGCUAGUAAUCGCAGAUCAGCAACGCUGCGGUGAAUACGUUCCCGGGCCUU
rnacentral:rRNA from 1 species